UGCCUAGUAAGCGCGAGUCAUCAGCUCGCGU
rnacentral:rRNA from 4 species